rnacentral:misc_RNA from 1 species
UCUCCGUAGGUGAACCUGCGGAGGGAUCAUUAAGAAUUGAACAGCAGUGUCUGGCACUGUUGCCCAUUCUAACCCUUUGUGUGAACAAACUUGUUGCUUCGGGGGCGACCCUGCCGCUUCGGCGGUGCGGCGCUCCCGGUGGCCAAUUAUUAAACUCUGCAUCUCUUGCGUCGGAGUCUUAAAGAAAUUUAAACAAAACUUUCAACAACGGAUCUCUUGGUUCCAGCAUCGAUGAAGAACGCAGC